ACUUACGGCCAUACCAUCCUGAAUACGCCCGAUCUCGUCUGAUCUUGGAAGCUAAGCAGGGUCGGGCCUGGUUAGUACUUGGAUGGGAGACCGCCUGGGAAUGCCAGGUGCUGUAAGUG
rnacentral:rRNA from 1 species